AAAACGCGGGACUGACGGUACGUAAAGGAAGCCACGGCUAACUCUGUGCCAGCAGCCGCGGUAAUACAGAGGUGGCAAGCGUGUUCGGAAUUACUGGCGUAAAGGGCGCGUAGGCGCCUUCUAAGUCAGACGUGAAAUCCCCGGCUUAACCUGGGAACUGCGUCUGAUACUGGGAGGCUUGAGUAUGGAGAGGGAUGUAGAAUUCCAGGUGUAGCGGUGAAAUGCGUAGAUAUCUGGAGGAAUACCGGUGGCGAAGGCGGCAUCCUGGACCAUAACUGACGCUGAGGCGCGAAAGCUAGGGGAGCAAACGGGAUUAGAUACCCUGGUAGUCCACGCCGUAAACGUUGGGCGCUAGGUGUGGGGCUCAUUCCACGAGUUCCGUGCCGCAGCUAACGCAUUAAGCGCCCCGCCUGGGGAGUACGGCCGCAAGGCUAAAACUCAAAGGAAUUGACGGGGGCCCGCACAAGCGGCGGAGCAUGUUGCUUAAUUCGAUGCAACGCGAAGAACCUUACCUAGGCUUGACAUGCACGGAAAUCUCCCAGAGAUGGGGGGUCCGUAAGGGCCGUGCACAGGUGGUGCAUGGUUGUCGUCAGCUCGCGUCGUGAGAUGUUGGGUUAAGUCCCGCAACGAGCGCAACCCUCGUCCUAUGUUGCCAGCACGUGAUGGUGGGGACUCAUAGGAGACUGCCGGGGUCAACUCGGAGGAAGGUGGGGAUGACGUCAAAUCAUCAUGCCCCUUAUGUCUAGGGCUGCAAACAUGCUACAAUGGCCGGUACAAAGGGCUGCGAUACCGCGAGGUGGAGCGAAUCCCAAAAAGCCGGUCUCAGUUCGGAUUGGGGUCUGCAACUCGACCCCAUGAAGUUGGAGUCGCUAGUAAUCGCAGAUCAGCAACGCCGCGGUGAAUACGUUCCCGGG
rnacentral:rRNA from 1 species